GCCAGACAUUUUGCUAAGCAAUUCACCAUGCACUUGCUCAUUAAAUCACUACCCUCUGAGAUAGAAACUACUGUCUGCAUUUUACGGAUGUCUAAACUAAGGCCCAGAUAGGUGGUGGGUCUGGCAAUGGCAGAGGCAGGACCCCCACCUCCCCACCCUAGGCAGUUUGAGUCUGGAGCUUGUGUACAGCCACAGUGCUCUGUGGCCUUACUGGGUAGGCAAGUGCUGAUUACGCAUUUACUCUAUGUUAACAUCUCUGUAGGGAUGAAAGUAUAAAUGUGACAAAGACAUGGCUCCCUACUCUCAACAUUAAUGAUCAA
rnacentral:lncRNA from 10 species